CAAAAGAUGAAAAUGGGUAGCUCCUCAAUGAAGAUAGUCAUGGCUCUGGCCUUAUGCCUGUUGCUUCUCGGUGGUUUCUCAGCUGAAGCAGCAGGAAGGAUUAAUGAUGGUGCAGCAGCAGCAACAACAGCAAUACAAUGUGUCAGCCCAGCUAGUUGCCCAAGUGCGAAGGAUUGCAAAAGUUGUUGCAUAUCAUUAGGUUACAACCCAGGCGGGGUAGUGACACAUAGAUGCUGUUGUCGACGAAAAUAGUCAUGAAGGUCUAAUUAGAUAACUUCAUAAUAUGCUAAUAAGUAUUUGGAGUUGAGAAAGAAAUAAAAUUUACUUUGAUGAAUGAAAAA